GAAACUACAACGAAAAAAGUUUAUGUCAAAAGGUCAAAAUUAAUUUUACAACAAAUGGCUGUUAUGCAAUUUUACCUAUUGAGGAAACUAUAGAACAAAAUUGAUUACGGAUAAAUUAUUAUUAUAUUUAGCCCUUGACUUAAAAAAUAAUAUUGAUGUUGUAAUUAACCAUCAAAUAUUUUAUGAGGCAAUUAAACUCAAACCACAAGAUUAUGUAGAUCCAAAAUUACAAGAUAAUAGGGUAGGAAAUUUAGUCCGGGGUUCAGUGCGUUAGUACAUAAAAAUUAUUAAAUUAUUCCUGAUAGUGUAUACAAACAACAUUAUCAGACAUACAAAAAGUAUAAUAUUGGAAAAAAAAUUAAUUGGCAAUUCAAGUAGACUUGAUGUCAAACAUUAAUAAAGAAAAUGUGGUAUAU